rnacentral:rRNA from 1 species
UGGGGAAUUUUGGACAAUGGGGGAAACCCUGAUCCAGCCAUCCCGCGUGUGCGAUGAAGGCCUUCGGGUUGUAAAGCACUUUUGGCAGGAAAGAAACGUCGCGGGUUAAUACCCCGCGAAACUGACGGUACCUGCAGAAUAAGCACCGGCUAACUACGUGCCAGCAGCCGCGUAAUACGUAGGGUGCAAGCGUUAAUCGGAAUUACUGGGCGUAAAGCGUGCGCAGGCGGUUCGGAAAGAAAGAUGUGAAAUCCCAGAGCUUAACUUUGGAACUGCAUUUUUAACUACCGGGCUAGAGUGUGUCAGAGGGAGGUGGAAUUCCGCGUGUAGCAGUGAAAUGCGUAGAUAUGCGGAGGAACACCGAUGGCGAAGGCAGCCUCCUGGGAUAACACUGACGCUCAUGCACGAAAGCGUGGGGAGCAAAACAGGAUUAGAUACCCUGGUAGUCCACGCCCUAAACGAUGUCAACUAGCUGUUGGGGCCUUCGGCCUUGGUAGCGCAGCUAACGCGUGAAGUUGACCGCCUGGGGAGUAC